rnacentral:tRNA from 1 species
GGAUAAGUUUCCAGUGGUAAGGUAAGAUGAUUGCUAAUCAUUGUGUUGAAUACAUUUGGGAGUUCGACUCUCUCCUUAUCCG